rnacentral:rRNA from 1 species
CCCGACCGCUAUCGGGGUAGGGCUAAGCCAUGGGAGUUGUACACCCCCGGGAAGGGGGUGUGGCGGACGGCUGAGUAACACGUGGCUAACCUACCCUCGGGACGGGGAUAACCCCGGGAAACUGGGGAUAAUCCCCGAUAGGGGAAGAGUCCUGGAACGGUUCUUCCCCUAAAAGGCUAUGGGCUGUUCCCGCUCAUAGCCGCCCGAGGAUGGGGCUGCGGCCCAUCAGGCUGUUGGCGGGGUAAAGGCCCGCCAAACCUAUAACGGGUAGGGGCCGUGGGAGCGGGAGCCCCCAGUUGGGCACUGAGACAAGGGCCCAGGCCCUACGGGGCGCACCAGGCGCGAAACGUCCCCAAUGCGCGAGAGCGUGAGGGCGCUACCCCGAGUGCCUCCGAAAAGAGGCUUUUCCCCGCUCUAAUAAGGCGGGGGAAUAAGCGGGGGGCAAGUCUGGUGUCAGCCGCCGCGGUAAUACCAGCUCCGCGAGUGGUCGGGGCGCUUACUGGGCCUAAAGCGCCUGUAGCCGGCCCACCAAGUUACCCCUUAAAGACCCGAGCUCAACUCGGGGACUGGGGGUAAUACUGGUGGGCUAGGGGGCGGGAGAGGCGGGAGGUACUCCCGGAGUAGGGGCGAAAUCCGUAGAUACCGGGAGGACCACCAGUGGCGGAGGCGUCCCGCUAGAACGCGCCCGACGGUGAGAGGCGAAAGCCGGGGCAGCAAACGGGAUUAGAUACCCCGGUAGUCCCGGCUGUAAACAAUGCGGGCUAGGUGUCAGACGGGCUUAGAGCCCGUCUGGUGCCGCAGGGAAGCCGUUAAGCCCGCCGCCUGGGGAGUACGGUCGCAAGACUGAAACUUAAAGGAAUUGGGCGGGGGAGCACCACAAGGGGUGGAACCUGCGGCUCAAUUGGAGUCAACGCCUGGAAUCUUACCGGGGGAGACCGCAGGAUGACGGCCAGGCUAACGACCUUGCCCGACUC